GGGAAGGUUGCUCAGUGGUAGAGUGCUUGCCUUGCAAGCAUGAGGCCCUGGGUUUGAUUCCUCAGCACCA
rnacentral:tRNA from 1 species